ACGCUCGACACCUACGGGAGGCGGCAGUGUGGAAUAUUGCACAAUGGGGGAAACCCUGAUGCAGCGACGCCGCGUGGAGGAAGAAGGUCUUCGGAUUGUAAACUCCUGUUGUUGGGGAAAAAGAGGAUGGUACCCAACAAGGAAGUGACGGCUAACUACGUGCCUGCAGCCGCGGUAAUCUGAGGCGGGCUGGCAAGGC
rnacentral:rRNA from 1 species